CACAAGAAGGAGACCAGGAGCACUUCAUACAGAGACCUGGAGGGGGUGGGGAUUCAGGAAUGCCUCUUUUGGUCUCUGAGCAGUAGGGAGGACCAAAUGACAGCAAGCUCUGCUGGGGUCACAGCUCCUAUGUUCCAUCUCACCUGAGGUGAUGCCGUCUGCCUUGGCGCCCUGCUAACCUGUUACAGCAUCCCAGUUCAUUCUUUUUAAAGGGUACCCCUUUCUGCCUACGUAAGCCUGGCACCUGAAAAUCAGACUGGGCUUCCUAUGUCUGAAGGAUUUGGUCCUGUCUCAUAGCUCCUUGCUCCCCUGACCACCAUGAUGAUUCAAAUGUAUCCAGAAUUCCAGAAGUGGCACAGUGAGUCCUAGGUGCAAACAAGGAGGCACUGUGUGCCUCCAGCAAGAGGAAGGCCUGUUUAGUUUUUUUGUUGUUUUGUUUUUUUUAUAGGAAGUACGAGCAGCUGCUCGGAAGAGGCUGGCUCCAUGCUGAGGCCUGCAAGUUUGGGGAGUUCCUUCAGUCUUUUAGAGCUCUUAACAUGAUUUUGACAUGAGAGAUUUUCACAAGUCAGCAGGAAGAAGUUGGAGUUUAUUCAAAACAGAAAGGUGCCCUUGGUAAAAUACAGAGCAGGAUACAUACAUACUCAAGAGCAGUACCUGAGGCUAUACAGUGACUACGCAGGUCCUUUGGAUGGGACCACAGGCUGAAGGUAAAACCAGAGGCGGCUAGAAAGUGGCAGGUCUACAGUUUGCAGAAGAGGGGCCUUCAGGAAAUGCUGAUUAUGUUGGAGUUCUUGACUUAAAGCUGGUGAGCAUCUUCCAGGGUGAGGAAUGCUUUUCCUUCCCAGGGAUACAUGGAGCCCAGGGAGCUGAGUCGUGUUUAAGUGGGGAGACUUAGGACAGCCUGAGUCCAGACUGAGGGUGACUAUCAUAGGAAGGAGUCAAACAGAACCUCCUGGAGCCCUGAGGACCACAUGGGAAGAGAUUCACCUGCUCAGUGCAUAGCCACUAGGGAAAACAGGUCAUACUCAAUACCCUGGGUCCCCAAAGGGCUGGGGACUUUCUUGGACCCAGGGCAGUUCCUUCACCAUGAGGGAGAACGUCUUAGGUUCAGCGGUUUGGUCCUGAAAUCUCAGGGUCUGUCCUAUCUAUUACCAGGAGGUCACAGUCAGGUAUUUGGCUUCUGCAGUGGAACCAGAGCUAAGGGCUUUGUCCUGCCAACCUGUUACUGGAAGUCUAUACAACCACCCAUAGAGCAGGCAAUGCUCAGGGGAUAGAAGCAUCUUGGGAGACAAAACUAGAGGUGGAUGCACCAGCGCAUGCACAAGGACCAGGGUGUCAUCGACUGCUUCUAAAGGUGCCAGGACCCAUCCAUCUCUCAGGGCAGCACUGUUCUCAUUCCCCAAGGGUCAGAGAGGAGCUUCUAGAAUCUAGUAAUUUUGUUUUCUUGGAGGGUUUCACUGUGUAGCCCUGGCUGUCUUGGAACUCAUUCUGGAGACCAGGCUGUCCUGACCUGGAUCACCAGGAGAUUCUCCUGCCUCUGGAUUAAUGGUGGACCCGCCCGCUGGGAUUAAAGGUGUGUGUCACCACUGGACAUCCAUCUCGCCUAGUCAUUUUAGACACAGUGUAUUCUUAAAUUAGGCCUCAGUGCUCUGGGAACUCUUACUGGGGUUCUAUCUGCCCAGAGCAGGAGGCCAGAAACCUGAAUCUUGAAGAUGAGGCCUCUUCCCCACUCAGACAGGAGGGCUGAGGGUAGAGCCUGUUCCCCUUAGACAGCAAGGGUGAAGAUGGACCUGAACAGGACCCAGCUGGGGGUAACAGUAGAGGUAUCAUAGUGUGCUCACAACUGGGUGUAUUUUACAAAGUCCCACUGGACAGAUGUGUAAGUAUAAUAUCUGUGACGAGGUCAGGGUCCAGGCCUCAGGGUGUGGCGCAGCUGUGAGGUGUGUGUUGCUGCUGAGUGAAGACUGGGGAGAUAGAUAGCUGGGCCCUCAGUGUUUCUAGCUUCUUGGCGCUGUCAGAAAUCAGAGAAGUACUGAGAAAAAGCUUUACUUUGGGUAAAGGGAUGCACUCAAAGGCUGGGAGCAUGCUUUUUUUUUUUUUUUUUUAAAUAGACAGGAGUUCUGGCUGGUCUAGAACUAUGUAGACCUGGCUGGCCAGGAACUCAGAGAGAUCCACCUGCUCUGCCGAUGAGUGCUGAGAUUAAAGGCAUAUCUCACUAUUUCUGGCCUAUGGCUCAACUUUUAUGGGGGUGUGGAUUGAUUUGUCACAAGUUAAGGUGGGGUGAGAGGAGGGAAAUCUCUGGGAGGUCAGGAUUUUUUUUUCUCCAAAGGAGUCCCCUCCCUCCGUUGCCCUUAUGCAUAAUGGGAGCAGGAGAUUUUAUAAUUCUGACGAUACAAAGACGUUAUUAUAAUGAAGCAAAAGAUAGGUCGUGGUCACCUGGUUAAUUUGGGAUGGUCUUGUUUUUUUCCGAGUAGUCACAUGUCCUGUUGUCAUCCAGCUCUGAGUUUUUGUCAGCCCUGCCACUGCAGCUUACCUCUUGUUUCCCUGUACCUUCUCUAGCUCAUCUCAUGGGUAAGCCAUGGCGGGAUAGAUGGCUCAGCAGUUAAGAGCAUGUACUGCUCCUACAGAAGAGCCAGGUGGAAUCCUGGCACCCACAUCGGGCAGCUCACCUGUAACCCCAGAUCUAGAAAUUUGACACUACUAGCCUCUGGGCACCUGCAACUCAUGUACUGGAGAUCAAAUGACAAGGAAGCUUGGAGAAAGUCACUUGCGAUCCAGAUGCUCUGACUAGGUCUCUGUCGACCUCCUUGUCCACUGCAGCCUCUCUACACAUCUGGGAACCCUCUCUCCACUUUCACAUACAUCUCCUGGAGGGCUCACCACUGCUUGCGUGCUGUCUAGUGAUCCUAACGAGCACACAAGCAGGCGCAACCAAGGCGUCUGGCCCAAGCAACUGAGGGAGGCUGGGCAGUGGUGGUGUGAAAGAUAUAGCUCUUACAAAGGAUUUGAGCUGGGAUGACCCUGAGGUUCCUCUUUACC